UACGUAGGUGGCAAGCGUUGUCCGGAUUUAUUGGGUUUAAAGGGUGCGUAGGCGGUCUAUUAAGUCAGUGCUGAAAUAUCCCGGCUUAACCGGGAGGGUGGCAUUGAUACUGAUGGACUUGAGUAAAGUUGAGGUUGGCGGAAUUGACGGUGUAGCGGUGAAAUGCUUAGAUAUCGUCAAGAACACCUAUUGCGAAGGCAGCUAACUAAGCUUAAACUGACGCUGAGGCACGAAAGUGUGGGGAUCAAACAGG
rnacentral:rRNA from 1 species